CGAGAGCAGGGGGUUACCGUUUCUCUGGGUGACGUCACGAGCUUUCCUGAAAGUCAAAACAACCGUUGGCUGCGGUAACCGUCGUGGCUUGUGGGAAAUCCGUUAGAUACGUUAUGUUUGCUGUAAACGAUUAUUUUUUCCCCGACUCGUCACGUUGACAGCGACCGUUGACUAGCGGUUUAGCUUGGCUUGCAGUCCAGCAUAGCUUUACGUUAACGUUACUGACUUACUCACUCAGAAGAAGGGAGGAAAGAAAAUAACCAGGGCGGUUUAUGAACAGCAGGUGCACGGGAAUACCAGAACACCUGCCGCUACAGGCUGAGUCACUGCUGGUGAGGAGGAAGGUCUGGAGAGGGAACGAGAGAGGAAAAGGAGGAGGUGGAGGAGGAGGGGGAGAAGAAGACGAAGAAGGGAGGGAGGCAGGGAGAUAAGCCACAACAGGAAGCAAAACGACACACACGCUUACACACAAACACACACGGUGUUUGUGUGUGUGUGCGUCUGAGAGGGAGACUGCGCGAACGAGGGUGAACGGGAAAGGAAGGGAGGGAGAGUGACGCGGAGGCUGGGAGAGCCGGCCCCCCCCUCUCCUCCUCCUCUCCUCCUCUCCCUCUCUUUCUCUCCUCUCCUCCUCUCCUCCCCUCCUCCCGCUCUCUCUCUGUGGAGCAGGCGUGUAGCGGCAUCAGACUCGGCGUGAAGGAACCAUGAGCGAUGUCACCAUCGUUAGAGAGGGAUGGCUCCAGAAACGGGGAUCAGGGUCGGGGUGCUGACUCACUGUCCAGGUCGUGAUACAGCAAAGACUGCAGUCUUAGUCAUUUGAAAGCUUUUUACUGAAGCGAAACAGCGAGAGAGAUCGAGAAAGGUGAAUACAUAAAGAACUGGCGGCCGCGUUACUUCCUGUUGAAGACAGACGGCUCUUUCAUUGGCUACAAAGAGAAACCUCAGGAUGCCGACCUGCCCUACCCCCUAAAUAACUUCUCUGUAGCAAAAUGUCAGCUGAUGAAGACGGAGAGGCCGAAGCCAAACACCUUCAUCAUACGCUGCCUCCAGUGGACCACCGUCAUCGAGAGGACCUUCCACGUGGACUCGCCUGAUGAGAGAGAUGAGUGGACGGAGGCCAUCCAGAUGGUGGCUGACAAGCUGCAGAGACAAGAGGAAGAAAGGAUCCAGUGCAGCCCCACCUCCAACAUCGACAACAUGGUCGAGGAGGAGAUGGACAUCUCCACCACACACCACAAACGCAAGACAAUGAGUGACUUUGACUACCUUAAGCUGCUGGGAAAGGGAACCUUUGGUAAAGUGAUUCUUGUCCGAGAAAAGGCCAGUGGGAAAUACUACGCCAUGAAAAUCCUUAAAAAAGAAGUCAUCAUAGCCAAGGAUGAAGUGGCUCACACACUCACAGAGAGCAGAGUACUGAAAAACACCAGACACCCCUUUCUCACUUCACUGAAGUAUUCAUUCCAGACUAAAGACCGCCUCUGUUUUGUCAUGGAGUAUGUGAAUGGAGGAGAGCUGUUUUUCCAUUUGUCCAGAGAGCGGGUGUUCUCAGAGGAGCGCACGCGCUUCUAUGGCGCCGAGAUCGUCUCGGCUCUCGACUACUUGCAUUCAGCCAAGAUUGUGUACCGGGACCUCAAGUUGGAAAACCUGAUGCUAGAUAAAGAUGGCCAUAUCAAGAUCACUGAUUUUGGCCUCUGCAAGGAGGGAAUCACAGACGCUGCUACUAUGAAGACCUUCUGCGGCACGCCAGAGUACCUCGCACCUGAGGUAAGCGAACAGGCACAAGAGAGGAUGAAAGAGAAGGAACGAGCAAGGCAAGAUACGAUUAGAGGACAGAAGGACAGGAUAAGACAGGAUAGAGUGGACAGCGCAAGUAGAGAGCAGGUCCUGGAGGACAACGACUACGGUCGGGCGGUGGACUGGUGGGGUUUGGGUGUGGUGACAUACGAGAUGAUGUGUGGCCGACUGCCGUUCUACAACCAGGACCACGAGAAGCUGUUUGAGCUCAUCCUCAUGGAGGACAUCAAGUUUCCGCGCACUCUGUCGGCCGACGCCAAGUCCCUGCUCUCCGGCCUGCUCAUCAAAGACCCCAACAAAAGGCUCGGUGGAGGACCAGAUGACGCUAAAGAAAUAAUGAGACACAGUUUCUUCUCUGGUGUUGACUGGCAGGAUGUCUAUGAUAAAAAGCUGGUCCCUCCCUUCAAGCCUCAGGUGACGUCGGAGACAGACACCAGAUACUUUGACGAAGAGUUCACAGCCCAGACCAUUACAAUCACUCCACCAGAGAAAUUUGACGAGGACGGGAUGGACUGUCUGGACAACGAGAGAAGACCGCACUUCCCUCAGUUCUCUUACUCUGCCAGUGGGCGGGAAUGAACUGUCCAUCACAGCGACAUCAUCACAGCUGGUCUCCGAGGUCAUCAAUGUGGGACAAAAAGACCCACUGCUUUGGCCCAACCCAGACUUGAAGGAUUUUGCCCUUGUCCUCCUCGUCCUCUCCUCUUCCUCGCCCUCUCUUUUUCACCUCUUCAGUCUGCUUCUCUCUUUUAUUUAUAUAUAUUUUUUUGUGAAACCCUUUUCAGAGAGAACUUCCAGGCAAAAUUGCUUUCUAAUCCUGCGCUGCAACCCUAGGUGAUCCGAACUGUGAUGUGAUCAGUUACUAUGUAAUGUCCCUUUAAUGACAGGAGCAUCACCGGUGGCCUGCUGUGCUUUGACAUGUGUCUGUCCUGCCAAACUCUAAAAAAACAAAACACACCUCUGAUCAAGUUAGACAGCUGAUGCAUUUUUUUAAGGCAACGUUUUUGUGGCUUCUUAUCUGUGAGAUGGAGAUAUAGCAUUUUAAGUCAUUCAAACCCAAACUGCCGUUACCGGUUGUAUCUCAGGCUUUUGCAAACAGACGGAUGCUCAGACUUGGAGAGACACUCUGGUCUGAGUUCAAAUCCUCACGUAAAUAAUUCUGGGGUUGAUUGAGGCUGCCUGGCAUUGAGGAAGCAGUUGUCAUCAGUGAGCAGAAUCCUACACACCUCAUGUUGUCAAGCAGGAUUUGACUCAGGUUUUGCUCAGUGCAAUUCAUUCUUGUUGUUGCUGCUAUUUCAACUACUACAGGUACUACUACUCCUACCACUACUAUACUACUACUGCUACAACUGAAACCCGGUGCUACACUAUUAGCUUAAUGCUGCAGAUCAUUAUACAGGCGCCAGCAACACAUCAGCCACCACGUAUCUAUGCUUUUACAGCUUCAGAACAGGUGUUGCCAUUACACCUAAUGUAUGUCUAUUACAUGUCAACUCUGUAUAUUAAGAUGACGAUAAGAUGUCAAGGUUGUGUGUGCGUGUGUGUGUGUGAGAGAGAGAGUGUACGAGGUAUAUCGGUUUGUGUUUAAGAACGCACCUCAAAGCACAGCAGUUCAGAAGGAUGAAGCUCCCCAACCAUGAGCUUUACUACGUUACCCACAAUGCAGUGCAAGGUGGUUGUUAUAUCCAUCACAGCGGAGGUGAAAAUGAGAGGAAAACGGUUGGUUUGAAUGUACCCCCACCCCAAAGUUUGCUUUUUUAUUUAUUUCUCAACUACAUAUCCCUAAAUCUCUUCUGUCCCAAAAGGGAAAACAAAACCGAGACGAUACUCUGUGUCGAUGACGGAAAGCUUUACUGUGACGUAUUGUUGUCACGGCUUUGGGAAACCGUAUCUCUCUGUGUUUGUGCAGGAAAGGGAAACUGCAGCAGGGACAGAUUCACCACCGAGUGAAAUAAGAAGUCCUGGAUGGCAGGUUGGGCAAUGUGAUGAGGAGAGUACAGCUGAGACGCGAUGGGACACAUUAAAGACAGACGAUAACUUACCCUGAACUCAAAGAAACGUUUGGGACCCAGAAAUGUGUGUGUUGGUAAAAGGCUGAGAGAGAGUGAGAGGGAGAGUCGAGGGAGAAAGAAGAAGUGGAAGUUGAGCAGAAAGGAAACAAGUGCAGCACAGAAGUCUGAAUGUAAAGCGGUGAGGAUGGAAAAGAUUCAAAACUGAAUUGUAAGUGCUACUGUUUACUGUAAGUGUGUUGAGAUAGAGUCUAGGAGAGAGUAAAAAAGAAGCAUAAUGUGAGUUUGUAAGGUCGGUCACUGUUUUCCUGUCAGUGCUUUGACUUUUAGAUGAGGGAGAUAAUUUCCCCCUGCUACCUUUAUUUUUUUUGGAUGAGUUUGGAUGAUCAGAGUUGGGUGCCUGACCACUAAACCGCCACCUGCACUCUCCUCUGUCUUUAGCGUGUGCUGUCAUUUCUCCGGUCUGGACGUUUGUUUGUUUGCGUCAUGUCUUCCAGUCUGACCAAUUUAAAAUCCCCACAGUUUCUCUCGUCUUCAAACGCCAGUAAGCCUUAUGGUUUAGCUCAGAAUGAGGAAAAAAAAAAAAAAACUUUUGACAUUCACACACACACACACAAAAAAAAUCAUCAGAUGUGAGGAAAUAUACUAAUCUCUACUGCAUCAAAGAAAUGUUGCAGACCUCACCUCCAAUAUCUGGAGGAUAGUUUAAAAAGAGAGCACCGGGGGAUGUGCUCUCAUUAGGCACAGAAAAUUGUAUUUGAAUAUAUUUAUUUUAAUGUUUUUAUUGUCAUCGAUGGAUAACUUGAAUUUCUUUUGUAUUUAAUUUAUUUGAUGUCAUGUUGUUUUGGAGUUUAGCAGUAGGGGGGUAUAGUUGUGUUUCACUCUGCAGUUUAAGUUUUAAGACUUCGUUCUAAAAAUAAAUGCCUCCUUUUUUUCUUUACAGAUAUCUCUUAUAUGACACAUUACCUGUUUUUCCGCUGCUCUUAAGUCCAUAUGCUUUACUCUUGCACAUCCAUUAAACUGCUAUUAGCUAGCAAAGGCGCUUUAUGGCAGAAAGUAUAAAAGGAUGGUGCUGGCCUGCAUGCUGUAGUCCUCCUCUGUCCGCACUACCAGUCCCAAGUCAAAGUGGCACUCAGAAGUCUUAUGAAAAAUACUUCUCUGUGAUCGAUUGAGCCUGUCUGGCACAGCUGAAGCAGCCGAAUCCCACCCAGCUGGCACCCUCGACAGGCUCAAGCAAACGCUCCCAAGUAUUUGGAAGGAUUUCAGCUUUGAUUUGACCCAGGUCUGCGAGUGACUGAGGAGUUCUAGCUGUAUGUGCACGCUUACCGCCAAAAUCAUUAGAAACCAGAGUUCAUAAAACACUGCUUUGUAGCUUUGGCCACAGCACUUUCACAUCCAUCACUUUUGAUAUGAUUCAGAGGAAUCUGAUUCAGCCCUGCUUUAAAGGAAGAUUUUUAGCUUUUUUUAAAAACAUGUUUUUAAGAAAAUGAGGAUUUUUAAAGCACAUCUCCCCUUCUCGUACGACCGAUAGCUUUGAUGUUGCUCUGAUGUCCAGAGUUGGAAAGACCUGGGCGAUUGUGUCCCACAUGCCAGAGACGAGUCAGUGCUGCCACUGCAGAGUGAGCUGUGGCUCAUGCUCAGUUGACAUUUUCAGUAAAUCGCUCAGUCCUCAUAAACUGAAAUGUUCGUUGCAACUAAACUGAUGUGACAGAGUACUCCUCCUCUUCUGUUCUGAAAAGUUUUCCCUCCUUGUUCAAUAUCCCACUGAUUCAAGUUCAUUUACUGGCAGCAACAAUGCCAGAGGCUGAUCCUGAGGUCAGAGAUCAUGAGAACAAAACACGCUUUCCUCCGACUACUGUAAGUGGAGAAGGUGGAGCUUAGUAAUCCUCCUUAUCAGUGUGGGUUUACCUUUAAGACUAAAUCAGUCGUGAGCACGUGUCAGUAAUUGAACAUUUGUCUCGGUUGUUAUCACCAAACAGGUUCUUUAACUGGACGUUGACGUCCUCACAGCUUUACUGGUGCCCUCGACUGGUGUGAAUCGACAGUAUGUGAGAUAUCCAACACUGCACUGACAGUGUUCACUCUUAAAGCUGCUGCUGUUUGUACUGUACAUCUAUCACACACCAGAUCUGACUCCAGUAGUAUCUGAAUAAUAUGUAAAAUCCUUGCAAAGACCUCAGCUGCUCUGUAUUGAUCUCGCCUGUUGUUAAUGAGCGAACAGCGUCAGCCAAAAAUCACAAGCCGCACCCAGCCUGGCGUUUAAUGCCGAUAACAAGUAAAUGGCUCCAGUGUUUGGAAGGAUUUCUGAAAGUAUUUGACCUCAUGUCUGUGACAGAAUCCCCCCCCCUCUUCUCUCUUUGGUACUAGUCUACUAUCAUCAUGAUUAUUAACAUGAACAAGCAUGAGAUGCAUUAAUUUAUAAACAGCAAACGAAAAACGGCAAACAUGUACAAAUACUACAAAGUGUAAUUGAGUCUUAAUUUCACAUCCGUGUCCAUCUACUGUAGCUUUACAGUUGUGCGAGACAUUUUUCUGGACAGCUGCCAGCUGUCCAGCUGCAGCGGGGGCCGUGUUUCCCUGAAACACUGUAAUACUGAAGUCAGCUCUGCUCUACGACACGUCAGUAGAGCAGAGACAAUGUCGACUCUGAGACAGUGUCGGGAAACUCGGCAGAUCGAUCAAACAGCCCUUUUCUGUCCCCCAUGCUGUUAGGAUGCAGUGCUGCUGGCCAGUGAGGCCGCGAGGAUGUGAAAACAACAAAUUACCAUCAACAUGAAGCUGUUUUUUACACUGUACAUCCUUAGUAUUUUUACACAUGAUGAAAUGUAUAUGAUAGGGAUGCACAUUAUUUUCCUUCUUACAGACAGCUUCAAUAAAGCACUAUGUCAAUCUGC